UUUUUGCGGGCACUCACCAAUGCCGAACAAGAGUCAUGGGAUGAAUUGGUUCAAAAAAUUGGCGGUUAUCGUUUAGGCGCGGGCGCUGAUUCGGUUGAAUGGAGCUUGACCGCCUCCAAAAACUUUUCGGUGAAAUCUCUCUAUAACAAACUUACCGAAAGGAAUGUGCUAGACAUAGCAAGGGGACAAUGGAAGGCAGGCUUGCCCUUGAAGAUUAAAAUCUUCAUGUGGCAAGUGUUUAGGAAUAGGCUGCCUACCUCGGACAACGUUGCCAAACGUAACGGCCCGGCCGAUGGUUCUUGCGCAAUGUGCGGUGUAGGUGAAGACGCU
rnacentral:rRNA from 1 species